AUAGGGGAGCCGGAGGGAAACCGAGUCUUAAUUGGGCGUUAAGUUGCAGGGUAUAGACCCGAAACCCGGUGAUCUAGCCAUGGGCAGGUUGAAGGUUGGGUAACACUAACUGGAGGACCGAACCGACUAAUGUUGAAAAAUUAGCGGAUGACCUGUGGCUGGGGGUGAAAGGCCAAUCAAACCGGGAGAUAGCUGGUUCUCCCCGAAAGCU
rnacentral:rRNA from 1 species